rnacentral:tmRNA from 1 species
GACUGUUUAUGGCACAGAAUGGAUCACAGAAAAGGUGCUUAUGUAGUACAUUGGGUCCCCGACUGGUGAUGAUUUCAGCCAGGUCUGGAUCAUCUAUGAGCUUAGAGGUGGUGUACAUCAUCAGGGUGUAGGCGGUUCUGUCUAGCAAAGAGGUGUUAUUUUCCAGGCAGGAUCGAGGACAUGUGUUUCCCGCUGACCAAAAUACUCACUGUGCCCUUCCUCAAGGCCCUAGAUCUGUAUCUCUCCCAGUUUUCCAUCUCAUGCAAGUUUCCCAUAAUUAAAAUAUCCACUGUGAAUCCUACCCUUCUGGCGUUUACCAAGAAGAAAUAUCUGGCUAGUGUUGUGUCUGAUCAACCCAUCGAGGUCCCUGCUCCAUCUGCCCGGCCUGAUCCUGUGAGGUUUACUGCUGCGGUGCCCUUAGCUUCUGAUGAGCAGUCUCUGGUGAAAGCUUUACAUUCCAGUACCGGGACAGUCCAGUGUGGAAAUCCAUUUUAUUAUAUGAUGACCAGACUUUGCUUGUAUGGACUAAUGCAUGGUAGGGGGGGAAUUGUGCCAGUUUCCAGCUCUAGUAAGCAGAGUGUAUAUGAUGUGGCUAUAAGAUUUAUAGGUUCUAGGAUAUUGAGCCCGAUAGUGAGGCUGCCAAUUUUAUCCAGGGCUUUGGCAGACCUGGCGCUGACGGGGCACGGUCAUCAGAUAACAGUGUGUAAUGAAUGUGGCCACUGUUUAAAUUUGGGCAGGGAUAAAUUUCUUGCAGUAAAUUUUUCCCCCACAAGUAUGUUUUAUUGCAGAGAUCAAAAGGAGAAACAGUUUAACAUAUGUGCUACAACUGGGAGGAUCUAUUGUUCAUAUUGUGGGGCGACAGAGUUUACAGUGUAUGACAUGGUGGGAAGGUAUGCUACGGGGGAGCCUUUUAUUAGGGCGGUUUCCUCAGCUAACUCCCUUAGUAUUUUAGAUAAUAGCGAACAGGAGUGUGAUAUACUGAUCCCUUGUUUUGGUAAAUCUAGGUCUUGCAGUAUUAAGCUGAGGGCGACAUUUAGGGAGCUACUUUAUUUGACAGCGUCUGUUGAUAAUUUUAUUUGUCAAAAGUGUUCCAAUAAGGGUGAUGAAUAAAGACAGGGUCAAAGCUCCAGCUUUCCACCCAGAGCUCCAUAACAAGCUUUUGGAAAGGCUUAAGGCUGCCUAUGGAAAGGACAGUAUUGGCAAAGACCCAGAAGAAGCCCCAGUUCCCCUGUUGUUGCAUACCUGUGCAGUUAGAUUCUAUGAAGAGUACAAAGAAUUGACACGUGAUAACACAUUGCCUACAUUGGUAAACAAGAAAGGAUUCCCGGGGGAUGCCAAAAUGAUGGACCCUGUCUUGGGUAUCUAUCACUCUGGAAAAAAACAGGGAGCAUCAAGUGUCCCUUCCUCUUCUGGAGCAUUUGACGGAGGGAGCCACGGUGGCCCUCUACCUUCUGUUGAUCUUCCUCAAAGGGAGGGAGGCCUGUGGUACGGACUGGGCCCUGACAAGUCUGGACUGGGUUUUGUGCUCCCCUCUGAUCCAGGGUCUAUGUCUGACGGGAACAGCUUUAGGGUUAUUCCAGACCCCUCAUCUCUAACAGACAAGGAUGACCAGAACUUGGGGGAAUCGACCAAAACAAGGAGUGGAAAUGGAAAGAAAAAGUAGACCCUUGACCAAAGACUGUUAAAUGUAAAGCUGUUUUAUUCUUUUUAGAGUAGACAGCAUAUAUGAUGAAUGGUCGUGUACACUUUUGAUUAUCUUCUCAAUAAAUAAUAAUACAUUA